GAUGAAGAACGCAGCGAAAUGCGAUACGUAAUGUGAAUUGCAGAAUUCAGCGAAUCAUCGAGUCUUUGAACGCACAUUGCGCCCCCUGGUAUUCCGGGGGGCAUGCCUGUCCGAGCGUCAUUGCUGCCCUCAAGCACGGCUUGUGUGUUGGGCCUCCGCCCCCCGGCUCCCGGGGGGCGGGCCCGAAAGGCAGCGGCGGCACCGCGUCCGGUCCUCGAGCGUAUGGGGCUUCGUCACCCGCUCCGUAGGCCCGGCCGGCGCCCGCCGGCGACCCCCCUCAAUCUUUCCAGGUUGACCUCGGAUCAGGUAGGGAUACCCGCUGAACUUAAGCAUAUCAAUAAGCGGAGGA
rnacentral:misc_RNA from 1 species